GGGGCCGGACUGCUCGGGGUUAGGCUGGGCAUCGGUCAGCGAGUGCACUCAUCAAAAAGAAUUUGACAUAAGUGGAUGUUGAUGCUUCUCUGUGGCAAAAAGAAACAAAACAAACCAAAAGUCUGGACCUGUAGUUUGAAAAGGAGAGCUUUAGUUUGAAUGGGUGAAUGAACAGAUGGGUAAAAAUUCCUUGGAUGAUUGGACUCGGAAGAUGGUGCUGAAUGGGUCAUAUUCAGCCUGGAGGCAGGUAACAAGUUGGGUACCCCAAGGAUCUGUGCUGCAAGCCAUCCUGUUUCAGACCUCUAUCAGUGACCUGAACAAGGCAAGGGGGUGCAAUUAUACCACACAUGAAGAUGACAACGAGUUAUGGCGACCAGUCAAUACCCACAAGGGCUGGGCUGCUGUCCAGAGGGCUCUGAGCAAGCAGGUGGAGUGGUCUGACAUCAACCCCAGGAGAUGAAGCCAGGACAAAAGCCCACGGAGCAGCUCCUAAGACCCAGCAGGUGAAUUGUCCAGCCCUCCACUGAAGGCUAAGGCAGAAAAGCCUGUCUCUUUCAACACUCAUUCUCCAUAUGGAUAUAACUACAUGUCACAAUGCAGCCACGGAUGCAAAGCAGCAAGUUGAUUAGAAGACAUUAUACGAAGCUACACUUCUGAAUUGAUGACUGUGAUACACUUAAGUAUUUUAUUAAGUAUACUGUGUAGCUAUCUUUUAUCUCUGUGUCUUGUGUCUCUGGAUGCCUGAUUUCAUCAUGCUGUCUUCAAACUCUAUGUUUGUUUUGUUCAUUUAAGCUGGCUUAUAAAAAUUCUUGAUGAAUAAAAUGGAAAAUAUUUGUACCGUUUACAUCUCUAUGGAGGUUUUGAGCAACUCACAGUGGAGGAAUAUAAAUUCGGAGAGAACAAAUCAGGCCUAACUCCAUUAUGUGUUACCUGAUGAGAUAAAUCCUCUGAAAGAGAGUGAGUUGAUCCCUCUAGUAAAAAUAAAAAUAAAUGAAUAAAUAAAACAAA